rnacentral:rRNA from 1 species
AGAGAGAGACAUGCGCGCAUAUCAAUAAGCGGAGGAAAAGAAACUGACUAGGAUUCCCUCAGUAACGGCGAGUGAAGCGGGAAGAGCUCAAAUUUGAAAUCUUAAAGGUUCUACCUUGACGAAUUGUAGUUUAAAGAAGUGUUUUCUGUUGAAGUUUUGGUAAAAGUUCUUUGGAAUAGGACAUCAUAGAGGGUGAGAAUCCCGUAUUUGACCAUUAUUUCCAGCUUUGUGAUACACUUUCAAAGAGUCGGAUUGUUUGGGAAUGCAGUCCAAAAUGGGUGGUAAAUCUCAUCUAAAGCUAAAUAUUGGCGAGAGACCGAUAGCGAACAAGUACCGUGAGGGAAAGAUGAAAAGAACUUUGAAAAGAGAGUUAAACAGUACGUGAAAUUGUCAAAAGGGAAGCGUUUGACACCAGUGUUGUUUUCUCGAAAAUCAAUUAAAAAAGGCAGGAUUUUGUGUUGUAUUGACUUUGUCAGCUUUCUGCACUCUUUUCUUGUCUUUUUUAAUGCACUUUUCGUUUAACAAGUCAACAUCAAUUUCUUUUGUUGUAAAAGGGUCAUUGGAAGGUGGCUUUCUUUUCGGAGAAAGUGUUUAUAGCCUUUGGCCUCUGCAAUCGGAGAGAUUGAGGUCUGCAGCGUAGAUCCUUCGGGGUUAGAUACAUUUGUGCUAAGUUAUAGCCUUUCAUAGACAACUUGUUGACUAUGAUCAGUCAUGUAGCUUACUCGCUUAUGCUAUUUUACCUACGCUUAGGAUGUUGAUGUGAUACUGCGAGCA